AAUGAACGCUGGCGGCAGGCCUAACACAUGCAAGACGAGCGGAAGAAGGGAGCUGGCUCCUGGAUUCAGCGGCGGACGGGUGAGUAAUGCCUAGGAAUCUGCCUGGUAGUGGGGGAUAACGUCCGGAAACGGGCGCUAAUACCGCAUACGUCCUGAGGGAGAAAGUGGGGGAUGUUCGGACCUCACGGUAUAAGAUGAGCCUCGGUCGGAUUAGCUAGUUGGUGGGGUAAAGGCCUACCAAGGCGACGAUCGGUAACUGGUCUGAGAGGAUGAUCCGUCACACUGGAACCGACACACCGUCCUGACUCCGACGGGAGGCCCCAGUGGCGAAUAUUGGACAAUGGGCGGAAUCCUGCUCCAGCCAUGCCGCCUGUGUGAAGAAGGUCUUCGGAUUGUAAAGCACUUUACGUUGUGAGGAAGGGCAGUAAGUUAAUCCCUUGCUGUUUUGACGUUACCAACAGAAUAAGCACCGGCUAACUUCGUG
rnacentral:rRNA from 1 species